CAGUAAUGCUGAGUAGAGUGGCGCACGGGUGAGUAACACGUAACUGACAUGUCCUCGAGACAAGGAUAACCGUUCGAAAGGAUGGCUAAUACUUGGUAAGCCCACGGGUUAGGACAUGAGGGAAAAGGGUCGGGAUUUUUCGAAACCGAUCGCGUGAGGAGUGGGUUGCGGCCCAUCAGCUAGUUGGCGGGGUAACGGCCCACCAAGGCUAAGACGGGUAGGUGGUCUGAGAGGAUGAUCAGCCACACUGGAACUGAGACACGGUCCAGACUCCUACGGGAGGCAGCAGUGGGGAAUCUGGCGCAAUGCCCGAAAGGCUGACGCAGCGACACCGCGUGUGGGAGGACGCCUUUCGGG
rnacentral:rRNA from 1 species